ensembl:lncRNA
UGUCCUUCUAGUCAGACAGCACUACAGAAGGCUUCUCUUUCUGUCUCCUUGCCUAUGCCUGAGGAAAGGCCUUGUGAGGACACAGCAAGAGGGCAGUGUAAUAAGCCAGGAAAAGCAAUCUCACACAGAAAUUUUGAUCUUGUACUUCUAGCCUUCAGAACUGUGAGAAAAGGAAAACCAGGCAACUGGCUGUUUCUUCAGCAUAAAUCAAUUUGCCUUGCCACAGUCUGAAAAGUUUCAUGCCUCCUGAGUGCCUUAUAUUUGGGUAUAUCAUCAAAAUGACAACUGUGUUUUGUGUGGAGACAAUUUGGACAAGUUUCAUAAAAAGGGGUCAAUAAUUUUUUAAUCUCAGUCUCAAAAUUUAUGUUACUGUAGCAUGUGCUCGGGAAAUGCCUGCUUGCCUGCUGGUCUAGUAGUCAGAGAACAGACUUAACAAAUAAAAGACUUUUGACUGGAGACAAAUCAUCUAAUCUCCUUUCUUUAUCCAAACAUCUGAAAUAGAGACUGUGAUAAACAAUGUAUAAGGUUGGAGUUCAAAUUGAAAAUGGGACCUCAUUUCUCUCUCCCUGUACUCUUAAAAAAAAAGUUAUUAAGCGCUAUUGAACUAGAAGCUUCACCCAUAUUAUUCCAUUUAAUUCUCACAAAGACCAUGUGAAAGG